UACAGAGGAUGCAAGCGUUGCUCGGAAUUAUUGGGCGUAAAGGGUAGGUAGGUGGUCUCAUUUGUCUGGGGUGAAAGCCUUGAGCUUAACUCAAGAAGUGCCCCAGAAACGGUGAGACUGGAGUCCUGGAGAGGGUCGUGGAAUUCCCGGUGUAGCGGUGAAAUGCGUAGAGAUCGGGAGGAACACCAGAGGCGAAAGCGGCGACCUGGACAGGUACUGACACUCAACUACGAAAGCGUGUGGAGCAAACAGG
rnacentral:rRNA from 1 species